AGUGAACGCUGGCGGUAGGCCUAACACAUGCAAGUCGAACGGCAGCACAGUAAGAGCUUGCUCUUACGGGUGGCGAGUGGCGGACGGGUGAGGAAUGCAUCGGAAUCUACUUUUUCGUGGGGGAUAACGUAGGGAAACUUACGCUAAUACCGCAUACGACCUACGGGUGAAAGCAGGGGAGCUUCGGACCUUGCGCGAUUGAAUGAGCCGAUGUCGGAUUAGCUAGUUGGCGGGGUAAAGGCCCACCAAGGCGACGAUCCGUAGCUGGUCUGAGAGGAUGAUCAGCCACACUGGAACUGAGACACGGUCCAGACUCCUACGGGAGGCAGCAGUGGGGAAUAUUGGACAAUGGGCGCAAGCCUGACCCAGCCAUACCGCGUGGGUGAAGAAGGCCUUCGGGUUGUAAAGCCCUUUUGUUGGGAAAGAAAAGCAGCAGGUUAAUACCCCGCUGUUCUGACGGUACCCAAAGAAUAAGCACCGGCUAACUUCGUG
rnacentral:rRNA from 1 species